AGGGAAUCUUCCACAAUGGACGCAAGUCUGAUGGAGCAACGCCGCGUGAGUGAAGAAGGUUUUCGGACCGUAAAGCUCUGUUGUUGGUGAAGAAGGAUAGAGGUAGUAACUGGCCUUUAUUUGACGGUAAUCAACCAGAAAGUCACGGCUAACUACGUGCCAGCAGCCGCGGUAAUACGUAGGCGGCAAGCGUUGUCCGGAUUUAUUGGGCGUAAAGCGAGCGCAGGCGGAAGAAUAAGUCUGAUGUGAAAGCCCUCGGCUUAACCGAGGAAUUGCAUCGGAAACUGUUUUUCUUGAGUGCAGAAGAGGAGAGUAGAACUCCAUGUGUAGCGGUGGAAUGCGUAGAUAUAUGGAAGAAUACCAGUGGCGAAGGCGGCUCUCUGGUCUGCAACUGACGCUGAGGCUCGAAAGCAUGGGUAGCGAACAGGAUUAGAUACCCUGGUAGUCCAUGCCGUAAAACGAUGAGUGCUAAGUGUUGGGAGGCUUCCGCCUCUCAGUGCUGCAGCUAACGCAUUAAGCACUCCGCCUGGGGGAGUACGACCGCAAGGUUGAAAC
rnacentral:rRNA from 1 species